rnacentral:lncRNA from 1 species
AUUCCAUCACGGAGUCUAGAACAAAGCCUUCCUUGUGAAGGAGAAAAAUAGAAGAGGGAUGUGGUGGCACAUGAAAGUCCAAAAAAGGAAAGAAACAAAGCAAGAUGACUUAUUCUUCUAUUAGCAUGUGGCAAGCUAACAGGUCCUUGAAGUCAAGGACUCACCUCAACGAGAAAUUAUAAAAUGGUACGGUAUCACCACGUCAGAUGGUGAUACUUCCACUCAGAUAUUGCCACGUAUCUUUUUAAAAAAAAAUCUUUAAAUUGUUUUUCCACCUACACAUUGGGUUCCAAUUUUAACCUUCAAAAGAAAAAUAAAAGAGAAAAAAAUAACUGUGGCGCAGCCUCCUCCUCUAUUAGUUCGCAGACCCCCUUUGCCGUGCCCUCCCUCUCUCCUCGGUCCAGUUCGAUGUCCCCUUGCCGCGACCUCCCUCUCUGUUUGUAUUCAGAGAGAGAGAGAGAGAGAGAGAGAGAGAGAGAGAGAGAGACAUAAAUGAACGAAAAGAGGGAGGGGCGACAGCAAG